rnacentral:rRNA from 1 species
AUUGAACGCUGGCGGCAGGCCUAACACAUGCAAGUCGAGCGGCAGCGGGAAAGUAGCUUGCUACUUUUGCCGGCGAGCGGCGGACGGGUGAGUAAUGCCUGGGAAAUUGCCCAGUCGAGGGGGAUAACAGUUGGAAACGACUGCUAAUACCGCAUACGCCCUACGGGGGAAAGCAGGGGACCUUCGGGCCUUGCGCGAUUGGAUAUGCCCAGGUGGGAUUAGCUAGUUGGUGAGGUAAUGGCUCACCAAGGCGACGAUCCCUAGCUGGUCUGAGAGGAUGAUCAGCCACACAGGAACUGAGACACGGUCCAGACUCCUACGGGAGGCAGCAGUGGGGAAUAUUGCACAAUGGGGGAAACCCUGAUGCAGCCAUGCCGCGUGUGUGAAGAAGGCCUUCGGGUUGUAAAGCACUUUCAGCGAGGAGGAAAGGUCAGUAGCUAAUACCUGCUGACUGUGACGUUACUCGCAGAAGAAGCACCGGCUAACUCCGUGCCAGCCGCCGCCGUAACAC